rnacentral:rRNA from 1 species
GAUGAACGCUGGCGGCGUGCCUAAUACAUGCAAGUCGAGCGAACAGACGAGGAGCUUGCUCCUCUGACGUUAGCGGCGGACGGGUGAGUAACACGUGGAUAACCUACCUAUAAGACUGGGAUAACUUCGGGAAACCGGAGCAAAUACCGGAUAAUAUUUUGAACCGCAUGGUUCAAUAGUGAAAGACGGUUUUGCUGUCACUUAUAGAUGGAUCCGCGCCGCAUUAGCUAGUUGGUAAGGUAACGGCCUACCAAGGCAACGAUGCGUAGCCGACCUGAGAGGGUGAUCGGCCACACUGGAACUGAGACACGGUCCAGACUCCUACGGGAGGCAGCAGUAGGGAAUCUUCCGCAAUGGGCGAAAGCUUGACGGAGCAACGCCGCGUGAGUGAUGAAGGUCUUCGGAUCGUAAAACUCUGUUAUUAGGGAAGAACAAAUGUGUAAGUAACUAUGCACGCCUUGACGGUACCUAAUCAGAAAGCCACGGCUAACUACGUG